AGUGAACGCUGGCGGUAGGCCUAACACAUGCAAGUCGAACGGCAGCACAGUAAGAGCUUGCUCUUACGGGUGGCGAGUGGCGGACGGGUGAGGAAUACAUCGGAAUCUACUUUUUCGUGGGGGAUAGCGUAGGGAAACUUACGCUAAUACCGCAUACGACCUACGGGUGAAAGCAGGGGAUCUUCGGACCUUGCGCGAUUGAAUGAGCCGAUGUCGGAUUAGCUAGUUGGCGGGGUAAAGGCCCACCAAGGCGACGAUCCGUAGCUGGUCUGAGAGGAUGAUCAGCCACACUGGAACUGAGACACGGUCCAGACUCCUACGGGAGGCAGCAGUGGGGAAUAUUGGACAAUGGGCGCAAGCCUGAUCCAGCCAUACCGCGUGGGUGAAGAAGGCCUUCGGGUUGUAAGGCCCUUUUGUUGGGAAAGAAAAGCAGCAGGUUAAUACCCCGCUGUUCUGACGGUACCCAAAGAAUAAGCACCGGCUAACUUCGUG
rnacentral:rRNA from 1 species